ACCAAGCAGUGAUGAUAACGACCUGAUGUCGCUUUCCUGAUUUAAAACUGAUGCUUUUAAGUCACUACCUCAUCUGAGCUUUGG